AGAGUCUUGCUCUGUCACCCAGGCUGGAAUGCAGUGGCGCGAUCUCGGCUCACUGCAAGCUCCGCCUCCCGGGUUCACGCCAUUCUCCUGCCUCAGCCUCCUGAGUAGCUGGGACUACAGGUGCCCGCUAGCACGCCCAGCUAAUUUUUUUUGUUUUUUUUUAGUAGAGACAGGGUUUCACCGUGUUAGCCAGGAUGGUCUCGAUCUCCUGACCUCGUGAUCCACCCGCCUUGGCCUCCCAAAGUGCUGGGAUUACAGGCGUGAGCCACUGCGCCCGGCCUAUGUUUCUUAAUAUAGAUUGCAGUGGCUAGAUUACAGUGACUAUUCACAGGCAUAAUCAUAAUGCACCAUAGCCUCAAACUCCUGGGCUCAAGCAAUCCAAAAGGAGGAAACUUUUAACUUAUGAUCAGUUUCUACCAUAAAUCAAGCAACUUAGAAAAACCUUAGAACAGGGUUUCUCAAACCAAGCAUUGUUAGUAUUUGGGGUUGGUUAAGUCUUUGUUUGUGGGAGCCUAUCCUGUGCAUUGUAGGAUUUCUAGCAGCAUAAUUGGCUUAUGCCCACUUGAUGUCAUUAGCACCACUCCCCACCCUACUUCCAGUUGUGACAACCCAAAAAUGUCUCCAGACAUAGCCAACUGUCCCUGGGUGUUGCGAGUAUAGGAGGCAAAAUUGCACCCUGUUGAAAACCACCACCUUAGAUCAUCUAGGUUUUACUUUUAGGAUAAGACACUUGAGGGAAAGGCUGUGAAACUGAACCUCUGUUAGAAGCAACACACAGUAUCACUGCAAAAAGACUAAAAGAAAUAGGUGAUUUGGAAAGAGGAGGCCCAGGAUUAAAAUAUGUUUCCAAGAAAGUCAAAUCUUACAGGAGACUCUUGACUUCACAUCUGCUGAUCCCUUUACCCGAUAGGACCUAGAGCAGCCAUUAUAAAUCUCUGUACCUGCUUGCUGCUUUUCUACCUCAUUGUUAGCCACACCCAGUUUGAAACAGAUGAGGUAUGCUAUUUCAUAACUAGUACAUCUUUUAAUAAGCAUUUUUUAUUGUGAUUAAAUAUGCAUAUCGUAAAAUUCACCACUUUAACCAGUUUUAAGUGUUCAAUUCUGUGGCAUUAAGUAUAUUCAUACUAUUGUGCAACCACCACCACCAUCCGUCUACAGAACUCUUCAUCUUCCCAAACUGAAAUUAUGUAUUCAUUAAACAAUAACCACCCAUUACCUCCUCUCUCCUCAGCCUCUGGUAACCAGCAUUCAGUCUCUAUGAAUUGACUACUCUGGAUAUCUAAAUGGAUUCAUUCUUAUUUCAUUUACCAUAAUGUCUUCAAAGUUCAUUCAUGUUGUAGCAUGUAUUAGAAUUUCUUUCCUCUUAAAGGCCAAAUAUGCCGUAGUAUGUAAAUACCGUAUUUUGUUUAUCAGUUCAUCCAUUAAUGGACACUGGGUUGCUUCUGCUUUUUGGCUAUUGUGAAUAAUGCUUCUGUGAACGUGGGUAUACAAAUAACUGUUUGAGUCCUAAUAGGCUUGUUAUUUUUGAGUGCACAGAUCUGUAUAUUCGCAAUUGAAAUAGGGAAAGUCUUUAUAUUCAUAUAAAGAUAAUUUAUAAUACAAUAAGUCCUCAAUGUUGUUGAUAGGUUCUGGGAAACUGCGAGUUUAAGAAAAACAACAUAUAAUGAAAUCAAUUUUACCAUAGGUGAACUGAUAUAAAUAAGAGUUAAGUCCCUAUGGCAUAUAUUUCUGGUUACAAAAACACUACCAAAUUUCUAAUAAAGACCCAAAACACUUCUAAAAUUAAACAUUGAGAUUAAUAUGAGCUUUAUAUACAUUUAAAAAGGAUAAAAACAAGUAAGAAUUGGCUGGACAUGGUGGCUUACGCCUGUAAUCUCAACACUGGGAAGUCGAGGUGGGCAGAUGGCUUGACCUCAGGAGUUCGGAACCAGCCUGGGUAAUAUGGUGAAACCCGUCUCUACAGAAAAAUUCAAAAAUUAGCCAGAGGUGGUGGCUUGCACCUGUAGUCCCAGCUACUCGGGAGCCUGAUGUGGGAGGAUCCCUUGAGCCUGGGAGGUCGAGGCUGCAGUGAGCCAUGAUCACGCUACUGCACUCCAGUCUGGGCAACAGAGCAAAAUCCUAUCUCAAAAAAAAUAUAUAUAUUAUCCAGCCCCAAAUGUUUAUGGGGUUGUUAUUGAUAAACCCUGCAUUAAACAAUCCCACAGUCGGUGCUGCGGUGAGCCGUGAUGGUACCACUGCAUUCCAGCCUGGGUGACAGAAUGAGACCCUGUCUCAAAAAAAAAAAAAAAAAGUAAAAAUUAUUUACCCAAUAUUUGGCGAAUCAGUGAGUGACAGCAGUUGUAGUGCUAGUGGGUUAAAUCAAGGAAUAACUGUUGGGAAGUGAAAAUUUUAAGGAGCACCUCCUACCACCAUGCAGUUCAAAAACAAAAAAUAAGAAAUAAAGUGGGCUUGCUGAGUGCUUUCAUACUGCAUCAUUUAUUGUGCAUUUGUAUGAUUAUUAUAUACUUUACAAAUUUUCGUUUUACAGUAAUUUGUAUUCAUUCGUUUUUCAACCUGCUUAUUUCAGUUCAGUGUCUUGGGUAGCUGGAGCCUAUCCCAGCAGCUCAGGGAGCAAAGUGGGAGCCAACCCUGGACAGGAUGCCUUUUCAUCACAGGGCGCACUCACACGGCACACACACGCAUACUGGGACCAUUUAGCUGUACCAAUUCACCUAACGUGCAUCUUUGGGAAUUGAGAAGAAACCAGAAUACCCAGAGAAAACUCAUGCAGAUAUGUGGAGGACAUGCAAAAUUCACACAGACAGUGGCCCUGGUUGUAAAUAAUUGUUUUUCAUCAAUGUUAUAAUGAAAUUACAGGCCGGGUGUGGUGGCUUACGCCUGUAAUCCCAGCACUUUGGGAGGCCGAGGCGGGUGGAUCACGAGGUCAGGAGAUAGAGACCAUCCCGGCCAACAUAGUGAAACCUCAUCUGUGCUAAAAUACAAAAAAUUAGCCAGGCUUGGUGGUGUGCACCUGUAGUCCCAGCUACUUGGGAGGCUGAGGCAGGGGAUUUCUUGAACCCAGAAGGCGGAGGUUGCAGUGAGUUGAGAUCGCGACACUGCACUCCAGCCUGACAACAGAGCAAGACUUCGUCUCAAAAAAACAAACAAAAAAAGAAAUUACAUUAGUUGAGGACCUGCUGUAUGUGAUAUGAACAAUGAGGAUCAACUCUUUUUGUAAUAGUUUUUUUACAUAUGUUAUUUCAUUUGUUUAUUUCCUCUGUGAGGGUAAGUAUUGAUAGUCCAGUCAUAGACUGGUAACACAGGCACACCAUUAAAAAUAAUAGACAUACAGUAUGCAGUAUUUUGUUUUACUUAUGAAACUCCGUAUUUUAUGUAUGAUGUAUUGAGUAUGAAGAAUAGUACAUACUGUUUCCUUUUAACUUUAUGUUUCUUGCCUUUGUAUAUUUUAUAUGAAUAGCACUUGUCACUAACAUAGAAAGCAGUAGAGGUGGAAGAGGGAGACUUGCCAGAAUAAGUUUUUAAUGUGAAUCAGAGAUUUUUAUUAGGAAUUGGGAGUGGAAGGAGAGAGAUAGUAUUAGAAAGUAUGUAUGCAGCAAAGGAUGGAGAAACUGUCCUUGUUGUUAAGGCAUCUAAGGAUGCUCCAAUUACUGGGGAAAACAUACCAGGCUCAAAAUGGUCUGAUUAUGCAAAUACCUUCUAAUACGUUUGUUUCUUUUGUUGUGCCUAUAAAAGAUGCCAUUAACUUCAUAUUUAUGUCACUAAUAAACUUCUAGAAUCCAUGUAGUAGGGUGUAGUAGUGUGGUUAAGCUAUGAAGAACAAUGGUAUUUAUUUCCAAAACACUUAUUUGGUAUAUUACAUAGGAUAGAGUAUGUUUUCUAAGCCAAAUAGUGUUAGGUUUUCAUGUGCAGUUGCCUUACACAUAUACUAGUAGCCCUUACAAAAUUUCGUCUGUCUUUAUUAUAAACAUGUUGUAAGUGAGGAAACUAAGAUUCCAAGAAAUUAAGUACUGUUGGCCCUCUGUGUCUGGGGGUUCCACAUCUAUAGAUCGACCAACCAUGGACUGAUGGAUUGAAAACAUUUGGGGAAAAAACAAAAAAUAACCCAACAAUGAAAUAGUAUAAAUUUUAAAAAUAAUAUAACAAUAUUUAUAUAUCAUUUACAUUAUGUUAGAUAUUAUAAUCUAGAGAUGAUUAGCAUCCUUGGAUUUUGGAUUUUGGUAUCCUUGGGGUAUCCUGGAACCAAUCCCUGGCGGAUACCAAGGGAUGACUGUAAUAUAAUAACAUCUAACAAGUGAAGGAUUUGAACCCCAAUGUAAGUAAUUAUGAAAACUAUUUUUCUUCCACUAGAACUUUUUUCCCCAAAAAUACUCUGGAA
rnacentral:lncRNA from 1 species